rnacentral:tRNA from 1 species
GCCUUCGUGCUGUAGUGGUCAGCAUGCUCGACGCGUAACCGAGAGGUCCAUGGUUCGAUUCCACGCGAAGGCG